GGUGGUUCUCAGGUGAUGCACCCUGGAAUCAGGCUCCCUCCUCUCUGGUUCUGGGUGAGUCACACAAGAACCGCA
rfam:Myotis lucifugus cont2.20577, whole genome shotgun sequence.